UACGUAGGGUGCAAGCGUUGUCCGGAAUUAUUGGGCGUAAAGAGCUCGUAGGCGGUCUGUCGCGUCGGCUGUGAAAACCCGGAGCUCAACUCCGGGCCUGCAGUCGAUACGGGCAAACUGGAGUGUUGCAGGGGAGACUGGAAUUCCUGGUGGAGCGGUGAAAUGCGUUGAUAUCAGGAGGAACACCGGCGGCGAAGGCGAGGCUCUGGCCCGUUACUGACACUGAGACGCGAAAGCUAGGGGAGCAAACGGG
rnacentral:rRNA from 1 species